rnacentral:rRNA from 1 species
UACGUAGGAGACGAGCGUUGUCCGGAAUUACUGGGCGUAAAGCGCGUGUAGGCGGAUGAGCAAGUCUGCUGUGAAAGCUCCUGGCUUAACCGGGAGUGGUCGGUGGAAACUGCUCGUCUGGAGGACGGUAGAGGUAGGUAGAAUUCCCGGUGUAGUGGUGAAAUGCGUAGAGAUCGGGAGGAAUACCUGUGGCGAAGGCGGCCUACUGGGCCGAUACUGACGCUGAGGAGCGAAAGCGUGGGGAGCGAACAGG